AACAGGUAGGUGACCCACCAUGGUUCAGGUGUAGUGAACAGGUAGAUGACCCACCAUGGUUCAGGUGUAGUGAACAGGUAGGUGACCCACCAUGGUUCAGGUGUAGUGAACAGGUAGGUGACCCACCAUGGUUCAGGUGUAGUGAACAGGUAGAUGACCCACCAUGGUUCAGGUGUAGUGAACAGGUAGGUGACCCACCAUGGUUCAGGUGUAGUGAACAGGUAGAUGACCCACCAUGGUUCAGGUGUAGUGAACAGGUAGGUGACCCACCAUGGUUCAGGUGUAGUGAACAGGUAGAUGACCCACCAUGGUUCAGGUGUAGUAAACAGGUAGGUGACCCACCAUGGUUCAGGUGUAGU